UGACAUGAAGUUACAUACAUGAAGUUUUUAAUCCAACAGAUAUAGAAUCUUGCAGAUAAGUGAAUGCAAUACAAACACAUCAUAUUUUAGCUAUUCUGUACAAAAGUGGCACUCAUACUAUGUUUCAGCGAUAUUCAUACUCAGUGAUAUGAUCCCUCCCUGCCCAUCUCUCUUCAUAUUUUCCAAAUGAGUAUGUAACCGAAGGCAUCCUAGUUAAGUGAAAGGGGUCAGGUUCAAUUCCAUCAUCAGUGAGUGGCCUAUUCUCCAAAAAUAUCAUCAUGCUUUUGUACAAAUUCUGGUAUCUCAAUCUCUCCUUUCUUGAUAUCAUCCCAGAGGUACUGAAGGCGGCUUACGUACUUGAUCUUCAAAUAUAAUCUAAACAAACAAACAAACAAACAGAACCAUUAAUAAUAAUU
rnacentral:lncRNA from 1 species